rfam:gamma proteobacterium HdN1, complete genome.
AAACGCCACUGUAAAUAUGCGCGGUGGGGCAUCAUCGAAAGAUGGAAGCAUAUUUGGAGAAAUAUCAUGUCAUUGUCUGCAGAACAGAAAGCAAAAAUCGUACAGGAAAAUCAACGUGCAGCG